AGGAAGACCAAAAUGAUCUUUUGUACUGCAAGGUGCUAACACUUGAUAUAGAUGAAAAUCUACAUAAACCAGCAUAUCUCUCUGCAACAGGAGUUCCAGAAGCUGGAAAACCAGACUGUGACUAUACUGGCUUCCUUCAUUGUGAGGCCUGGAUCUAAAGGACCUGAACAGUGAAAGAUAAGACAUCUAUUUAGAGGCAACAUUGAAGUUACAGAGAGAGAGAGAGGCAGAGACACAGGCAGAGGGAG